rnacentral:rRNA from 1 species
UACGUAGGGGGCUAGCGUUGUCCGGAAUCAUUGGGCGUAAAGCGCGUGUAGGCGGUCCGGUAAGUCCGCUGUGAAAGUCGGGGGCUCAACCCUCGAAUGCCGGUGGAUACUGUCGGGCUAGAGUGCGGAAGAGGCGAGUGGAAUUCCUGGUGUAGCGGUGAAAUGCGCAGAUAUCAGGAGGAACACCAAUUGCGAAGGCGGCAUCCUGGACCGGCAUUGACGCUGAGGAGCGAAAGCCAGGGGAGCAAACGGG